rnacentral:piRNA from 1 species
UCACCAGUGAGCUGUCUUUUAGAUGAUGUG